GAAGAGCUAUUACCAUCUUCUCCUCUACUUGGCUUUACAGUUCAGAUCCCAGGCGAAUGACAGAUGGUGAGCCGGGAAGGGAGAGUCAAUUUUAGAGAACGUAGAACUCAGUGUUUAAAAUAGAAUCCUACAGUCUUUGAGGUGGAGAGGGCCGCAGACUUGGGCUGGGCUUGAAACAGCGAGACGAUUGCAAAUGGGCCGCAUGGCCCUGGCCGCUACCAGCCCCCGUGACAUAGGCCGGCCUGGGUGUCCUCUUGGUCAAGCUCCACAGAUAAGCAGGGCACUACGAAAUGCCUCUGCUGAGGAGGAAAAGAGCUGCUGUUGGCAGCAAGGGCACAGAGGAGAGGCCCAGGAACCCUCGGACAGGCACUCGAGACGAGCUGCCCUCUCCAGGCUCGCUCCAGAGCGCUCCAGUGAUCCCCGACAUUGACUUCCAUGAAACAGAGGCUUAAAAUCACUCAUACACACCGGCGUGUUUGAAGAGCUUUCACUUGCCCUUCCCCGCAAACUGGGCCAAACCUUAAAAAGGCCAACUUGGGGUCAUGAAAUCAAUUGAGCAGACCACAAGCGGAAUUUGAACUUGACACAGAACAGAACGAAAUAGAGAGUAUCGCAGUGUGUCUCACACGGCAAAGGGAGGCAGCCUGUUCACAGUAAUCCUGCAGGGAAGGAGCCGGAGGGAUGAACAUCUCAGCCUCACUGUCCUCUCUGUUUCUCAUCUCCUGCCAACGAACACGCUGGCCUACCAGGCCCAGGGUGCCAUGACGCAGUCCACAUGGGAAAGCAGGGUGACGGGGGCGGAGAGUGACUAUGGAGUUCAGACAGAGCAUGACCCGUGCAAACAAAAUCUCUGCCCUUAUAUUCCAUGGAUGGCCAGGUAUGUAAUCCAAAAAACCCACAGGUACCCCCAUGCUGGCAGAGAGGUAUUAACGAGGACUUCUGGAAGCACCUGCAAAGAAGCACUUGCCUCUCCGCGUAGGGUUAGGGAAGGCUCGCCAGGGAGAAGACACUCUUUCUGCCCAACACCCUUCCUUGGGAACCACCCUCUCUGUUUCCCUCCCUGCAGAAAGGGUCCUGGUUGGUCCCGGACAUGGUGCUCCGCCCCUCUGCUGCAGGGACCAAUCAGAGUGGGUCUUUAAUCCCCUGGCCACAGUGAUUGGCUCAGGGAAGGGCCAAAGUUCAGCCCCACGGACUCUUACGUGAGAAUCUCCAGCUAAGGACCAAACUGUCUUUUGCCUCUGAAUUCUGGUUGCUGGGAGGUUGUGAAAUUAGAACUGUCGGCUGCCAUCUCUCCCCUUUCCCCAGUAAGUGUAAAUAUCCAACCUAGGGGGGAAAUGGAGGCAAGGCAGAGACUCAUUUUACUGGGAAAUAGUUUAUGUUCCGGGUUGCUGUAUGUUCGGGCAUAUACUGCAUGUAUGAUCACUUCUCCUUUUAAGUUAGUUGGAGUUGAGCUUCUGUCCCGGCUCAACAUGCAAAGAAAACCGCAUGUGCAAAAGUGUGUAGGGGAGAAAGCGGAUGGCAUAUUGAGGGACCGGCUGGGUUUGUGGUCUGGUGCUGGCGAAGUGGGCAGAAAUUGGAUAAGGCUCUAACAGUGGGCUUGGGUCAGAUGCCGAAUGUAUGAGCAUUCAUGAAGGGGGUUAAGCAGGAAGUGACACGAACAGAUGUGCAUUUUAGAAAGCCCACCCUGAGAGCCAUGUAGAGGACAGGUGGAGGUGAGCAGGCCUGGGAGGAAGGGGGCUACGGCAGAGCCUGGGGUGACCUGGUGGGCGUGCAGAGCUCAGCUGGGGACAGGAAGGAGGGCAAUGCUGGGAUGCCGGAGGGAUUGAGGGGAGUGAAAGAGUCUAGAAUUCGUACCAAAGUGCCAGUUUGGGUGAGAAGGUGGAUGACAACAUAAAUGGGGUCUUACUUCCCACAUCUCACAACUUGGAGGGCCUUCUCCUUCCUCAACAUCAUUUCCUGAAUGCAUUCUGGGUUUACCCAUCGCAUAUGUAAGACAUGGAGGCCCAGAAUAGGACGUAUUACUCCAGAUGUGGUUUGACCAGUGGAGGACUUGGGCCAUGACACAUUUUCAUGAAUGGAGCCCAUCCAUCCAGAGGCUCUUCCUCAAAAUCAUUUCACUACGGUGACUCGUGAAACACAUCACUGUCUAAAACCCCUAAGUCGUCUUUAACACAGGUUCCAGAUCACUUUUGUCAUGCGGUGGUGAAUAUUUUUUCAAGUGAAUAAUUCUUUUACCCUAUCUGAAAUGCAAGCCUAUGGCAUUAAGUUUAGCACGCCUUCCCUGCCUCUGAAAACCGCACCUCUCCAAUUCUUUUCCUCUGAUCGAAUUCAACCGGCAAGCAUGAAGCGAAGAGUCUGGAACGGGUACUAUGGGGAACGCGUGAAAAGGACAUGUUCUUCCGUUUCCAAGAAGCUUAGAAUCCAAUUAUAUGUCUAUAAUGAGGUAUACGUAUAAUUAUUAAAAGUCGUUGGAAGUCUCCAGUUGUGAAACAUUGGCGUGGAGUGCUCGCUAUGAUUUUGAAGGGCCCGGGAACAUCCACCAUGAGGUUCAUCGCAACA